rnacentral:rRNA from 1 species
UAGUGGGGGACAACGUUUCGAAAGGAACGCUAAUACCGCAUACGUCCUACGGGAGAAAGCAGGGACCUUCGGGCCUUGCGCUAUCAGAUGAGCCUAGGUCGGAUUAGCUAGUUGGUGAGGUAAUGGCUCACCAAGGCGACGAUCCGUAACUGGUCUGAGAGGAUGAUCAGUCACACUGGAACUGAGACACGGUCCAGACUCCUACGGGAGGCAGCAGCC